UAGUACUAUAAAUUUAAAAAUUUGCUUUCGAUACAAUACACAUAUAGAAACACAGGCUCAAACUUAUGUAUAUACAAGGUUAAUUGCUUUUAACUUUUCAAAAUUGUGUCACUGUGUUUAUGACGUGAAUCACAUUGGACAAUAUGAGACUAAGGCAGUAAAGAUAGAAUUUCAAUAGUGGUAGACUCAACCACGGAGUGCUUUCUAUCUGUAUUUAAUGGCAGAUCGCUACGUCUUACUGAAAGUGAAGAGUGUGAUCCUCCGAACUCAAGAAUAAAGAGAAUAACAAUUCUCAGUUGGGCAACAUCAUACAACCUUCACAACCUCCUGUUCUCUGACAACUGAAUCUAGAGCUUCUUCCUAUGUCUCCAUCAAUAGUUUCUGAUCCCAAGGCCUCGACCUUCAAAACUUUCUCAAGAUGGGUUGCCCAGUUCCAUCCCCUUUCAUGAUCUUCAUGUUAUCAAUCUGUUAAACUGAUCAUUAGCUUGUAAAUAUUAGACUUUUCAAAAAAAUUAUAGAUUGCACAUGUAAGUCGGGUUGUGGGCGAAUAUGAUGCUAAAUUAGUUUGCUUGUAUUGCUGCAAUUGAAGAUGAUGUAAGAGGUAUUGAGAUUGGCAAAAGAGACAGAAUUCAAUUUCAAAUGCUACCUCUUUUCCUUUUAUAUGUAUAAACAUCACUCAUCCGAAAUUCACUCAUUCAAAGGAAGCACAAUAAAUAAUCUUUUAUUACAAUAUUCCAGCGGUAGGGACAAUAGAUCAGUUCAUAAG
rnacentral:lncRNA from 1 species